UUCAGGCACAGGUGGGCUCAUUAGCAAGGCUGGAGCUCUCUCUGUGGAAACGUGUGGGAGAAAGGGCAGAAUCCAGCAUGGCAGCGAGGGACAAGGAGUGGUGUGAGAGAGCAGCUCUGCAGUACGCAGCUCAGAGGAACGGCAGGAUCACCCAUUUGAAUUCAUGCCAGUCUCAAUAGGGUUACUGAUGCCAGCGAUUUAAGGAUCUUCGCAUCCAGUCUCAGUGAGAUAUGAGAACAUGCAUUGAUCUGCAAGAGGCUGAGCUCAGGACACAAGAUCUGAGCAAUUUUCAUCAGAGUAAAAUCAGAAAGGUCACUUCUUUCUGUCCUCUCUACUAAAGU